rnacentral:piRNA from 1 species
UAAAACAUAAUGUGUACCGUUGAUGAC